rnacentral:sRNA from 1 species
GAAAGCCAUCGCAAAGGACGUACCUUGCGUGUUUUGGUAUUUGUGUAGAUGCCAUGUCUAGACAGACCGAAAUCUGAUAUUUUCAAUGUCUUAUUGUUGUCGAUUAGUACAUUGCGCGCUGCCAGGUCGCUGAGGAUUAGAAUUUUCACAGAAAUUAUAAUUUUCGGACUUGCGAACAACUUCUGUGUUGCCAUCAAAAGCAUUUUUCGGUAUAAUUGAAAAAUGAAUGAAUUUCAUAUUGAAGAACGGUUCGGGUACGUAUCUACCCGCAGCAGGUAAGAAGCUAUGAUACUUAACAGGUAAAAUUAACCACAUUUACUUAGUUGGGCUAAUUAGCUUUUUGGGAAUUGAUAUACAAAUAUUUGCAGGAAUUUAUUCUGCCUUAUUUACACUAAUUUGCAACUGUUUUUAUACUAUA